rnacentral:lncRNA from 10 species
GCACUAGGCGGCUGCGGCGCCUGCCCCUGAGUUUUGGUUGCGCUGCCGGGGGGCCGCGGGGUCCAGAGGCCUCACUGCAAAAAGACAUUCAUACCCUCCCAGGGCCCCCGUGGCCGUUCCUAGGGAAGACGGGGCCUAGCUGCUGGUCAGCGCCGCCCAGCCGGCCUAUGAGCUGAGGGUAGAGCCAGCGCCCUUCCAACCCGUAUUCAGUACUCUUGCGCCGUACCCUUGCUUUGCAAGUAAGCCGACCUUGGGACCUAUUCCAGGACAGGAGGCACACAGACUUUGUCCCCACCGGCUGCCUAAGAACAGUUCUUGGACACCCACGACGUGCCCGAGACUGCAGGCAGGAUUUGCACACAUUUAUCUUUAUUUUUACCCCUAGGGUUGGUAUUAUUGAUUCUAGUAAUAGUGAAAUCCUUUGAGGUUAAGCAGCUUCUCCUGGGCACAGUUAACUGAGUCAGGACUAGUUCCCACCUUCCUCACUACUAAGCCCUGGCAGUCAUGUUUUGUGUGUUUACAGUAACUCUGUGAACCAACUGUUCAGGAUAACAUAAAAGGACAACAGAGGAUUCUUUCCUGCGCUGUCUUGUAGCCUAGUAAGCUGUUAAGUAUCAAGUGCUCUCUCAACAGUUAAACAACAAUCCUGAAUGGUGUGAAUCUUCCAUGUGUAGAGGUUAGGAAAUCUACACUGCCAUUGGCGGGAGUUGCCCCUUUAUUGAAAAGAAUAUGAUGGAAGGUAGCAGGUGCUGAACCGUUUCCGUUGCUUCUUGCAACCCCCGUACAGCCCUCCGAAGGAUGACUAGGCUUCCGACACAGCCUCGCUCUGUCGCUCAGGCUGGAGUACUGUGUCGCGAUGUCGGCUCACUGGAACCUCUGCCUCCCGGGUUCAAGCGAUUCUCCUGCCUCAGCCUCCCGAGUAGCUGGAAUUACAGGCGUGCACCUCCACGCCCCACUAUUUUUUUUUUUUUUGUAUUUUUGGUAGAGACGGGGUUUCACUAUGUUGGUCAGGAUGGUCUCGAACGCCUGACCUCAAGUGAUCUGCCCGCCUCGGCCUUCCAAAGUGCUGGGAUUACAGGUAGGAGCCACGGCGCCCGGCCUAUAGAUACCCUUAAAACGCAGACAAGAGCAGGGGUUUGAUGUGAUUGUUAAUUGGAAGCUGAGAAACAUUUCUGCUGAGGUGAGACACACUGAAAGUGGUUUUUCAGGCAAGGUGGUCUGGCACUGACUUGGGGGGAUGAAGGGAGUGCAGGCUAGUUAGGAAGCUGGUACAUUCGUCUCAGCAGGAGGUACUGCAGGUCACUUUUAGGGCACUAGCUAUGAGAACUGGAAGAAAAGGGCAUUUUGAAGGAUGAAUCCACAGGAUUCAGAGACAGAUCAGUCAUUGUAAUGGAAAGACUUGAUCUAGUGAUAAUGAAAUAUUCCUAUUGGGAGGCUGAGCUCAGGCUACUUACUUGCACUUCUUGUUUGUAUAGAGAGUGAUACUUUGAGAGUUUAAAGCGACUCCUAGGACAUGCCCUUUAGAACAAGCACCAAACGUUGGGGGCUGGUAGGACUGAUAGCAGCAGUCAGGUAGAAGAAUCUCCAACAUCACACCUGUCAUCAGCUACAUCAUUACAAAACACUACCAUGACUGUGAGCACAUCCAAGGUUGUGGGAUAUGGGAGGUAAAGAAAAGUUUACCUUGUCUACCACACCCAGUGAACAGGCUCCGUUUUCUUUUUCUUUUUGUCGCCCAGGCUGGAGUGCAGCGGCGUGAUCACGGCUGAUUGCAGCGACUUGCUGGGCUCAUGUCAUUCUUCCACCUCAGCCUCCCAAGAAGCUGGAACUACAGGUGCAUACCACCAUGCCUGGCUAAUUUUUUUUAUUUUUUGUAGAAACAGAGUUUCUUCAUGUUGCCCAGGCUGGCCUCAAACUCCUUGGCUCAAGUGAUCCUCCCACCUCAGCCUUCCAAAGUUCUGGGAUCUAUAUAGGCUUGAGCCACCACACCUGGCUGCCUUUUUUUUAGGUGGCCACUGUAGAGGGUACUGAAUGGCCUCAGAAGUUAGAUUACAGUCGAUUGACCUGUGUCCCAAGUUACUCCAGCCAGCUCAGGAUGUCCUCUGCAACAUCAGGACACCAUGAAUAUGGAUUUCCCAUAGAUAAACUUCCUAAGGCUACAUCACAGCCAUCCUGAGACCCACCACAGUACAGACCUAUAUAUUGUUUGGAAGAAGCAACCAAUGUGGGUUGAGAUGAAGUCAUUUUGAGCCAGUUAUUAACUGCAUUCAUAUUCCAGUAACAGAUCCAACCACAGUUUCUUAAACACAGAAGAGUGUAUUCCCUCAUGUAACAAAGAUCUGGGGCAGUCAGUCCUGGGUUGGGAUGAAAUUCCAUUGAGUCAUCAAGGAUGCAGGCUUUCUGUCUUCAAAGCUGCCUCAUGGUCCAUAAUAGCUUCCACAGCACCAGCAACCUCAUCUCCCUUCUAGGCAAGGGGAAGGACAAAAGUCUGGGCUCCCACUGUCUCCCCCAACCUUUUUUUAUUUUUUCUUUCCGAAUCAAGAGUCUUGCUUUGUUGCUGGGCUGGAGUGCAGUGGUGCGAUCUCGGCUC